GACAGAGGUCUCAAGCGUUAGGCGGAAUCACUGGGCUUAAAGCGUGUGUAGGCGGAUUCCUAAGUACCUUGUGAAAUCCCCGGGCUUAACCCGGGAACUGCUUGGUAUACUGGGUGUCUUGAGCCAACUAGGGGCGACCGGAACAAACGGUGGAGCGGUGAAAUGCGUAGAUAUCGUUUGGAACGCCAAUGGUGAAAACAGGUCGCUGGGUUGUGCUGACGCUGAGACGACGAAGCCAGGGAGCGAACGGG
rnacentral:rRNA from 1 species